rnacentral:lncRNA from 1 species
GGCAGUGUACUCUCAUUGUUGGUUAAUUCAUCCCCCAUGAAGCUUCUAUCAGUCAGAAUAGCGCCCGCAUGAGCAGCGUAAUCCCAAGGUAAUAAGGUUUGCGUAGAUCUCAGUAGAUUAAUUGGAACCAUGCACAACCUUUUCUCCCAUUCUUUUAUUUGUUUGUUUUUAUCUUUCUUCAUUGGGGUGGCUGUAGGAGCUAGUAGAAGCGAUAUAAUCGGUAAAUCUUUGUUAUAAAGUACAGUAAAUCAGCGUAUGAGCUUAUUAUUAAUAGCGCGCAAAAAGGGGAACCGCAUUCUGUGAUUGCUAAUUAAGUGUAUUCACUUUGUUUAUGGAGGAUUUGCAUUAGCUGCACUAUAUUUAUGUGGUGUUUGAUUUGGAGUUUGGCCAAACUUCAAAAGCCAAAGUUAAGCCUUAAAAAAACUACGUAUAUAUACCUGGUCCAAAACAAUGUCGUGGCUUUCUUGCAAGUAUUUCAUAAUUCGCCGAAGAUUGCAAGGACUGCUUAUACAUACAAGCAAGGAAAAGCAAGCAUAUUUACAUUCAUGUAGGGUCUUGUUAUCGUACCCUUGGAAGUCGUGCCACCUUAUUUGGGCCGCGUUUGCAACUUUCGGCUUGAGCAGUGUCUUCUUUCCUGAUAGGCGUGUCUUGGAUCUUGUUGGCACGGUGACACCGAUGUGGAACUUUUCGAUUCGCUAGUGAACUAAUAAAUUUCGACAAACCCUGUAUUGCUCUUCUCGUUGGCAAGUCAUCCAUGACAUGUCUUCUAUUGGAUAUGAUGACACAUUGGCUUUUUCUGUCUUGGUAGUCUGUCAAGAGCUAGUGGUAUGGCAAUGCCUAAUCGGCAAGUGAGGGCAUCAUCACCUCGACGACAAUGCCCUAGGUCUUCAUUGGCUAGACCUUGCAAUGGCGACUUAUUGAAGGUAACAAUUGUAUGGAGUUGUGCAGAAUCUGCUAUCUCGGGUGCAGGUCAAUGGUGUCGGCUUCGGUGGUUGGAUAAGAAACAAUGGCACAUAUGACCAUUAUCACUACAGGUGAUGUAUGCUAACGCUCGUUGCAACUUACGACCUGAUCACAAUUGAGUGUUUCUAUUAUCCUUAAAAAAAGGUUGGUGAUGUGAAUCCUUAGUGUCCCGAGUCCUGGCAAGGUUGUCCUGUUGUUGCAGAGGCCAAGAAUAUUUUUUAUCAUCUUGACCGUGGUGCGUUAAUAAAGUUCUUGUUGUUUAAUUUCUUUACAAAAAUAGCUUGGCAUCAAAUGUCUUUCCAGAUUUUGCAUGGGCCUAAUUAGUUGUCUGUGCUUGUUGUCAUCAUAAUGGUAAAAGCACCCGGAUAGUUAUCGCCGUUUUGUGAAGCAAAACAUGUAUGUGAGAGAACUCAAAUUUCAUUAUGUCUAUUAGAAAUUGAUUGUACAUCGACUUGUGAACCCAAGCGAGCUACUUCAGUAAUUAGGGUAUGUGUUGAUGUUUUUCGCCCUCUGCAAGGAAAUAUGCACUCCCACUCCUCAUGCACCACAUAGUUGAAUUGGUUAUACCUCCUUAUCAUUUUUAGUAUACUUACAUUGAUAAUUACUCCGUACCCCAAUGCGAGUUCCAUGAGAAAUUACAUUUGAGACCACAUAUUGUAUACUCUUAACACGUAAAUUGCAUUUUUGUACAUAAAACUAUAUACUACAUAAACUAAGGGCU